rnacentral:rRNA from 1 species
CAUGCGCAUCUAUACAUGCAAGUCGAACGAACCGCGACUAGGUGCUUGCACUUGGUCAAGGUGAGUGGCGAACGGGUGAGUAACACGUGGGUAACCUACCUCAUAGUGGGGGAUAACAGUCGGAAACGACUGCUAAUACCGCAUAGGACAUGGGAUCACAUGAUUCCGUGAGGAAAGGUGGCGCAAGCUAUCGCUAAGAGAUGGACCCGCGGUGCAUUAGCUAGUUGGUAGGGUAACGGCCUACCAAGGCAAUGAUGCAUAGCCGACCUGAGAGGGUGAUCGGCCACAUUGGGACUGAGACACGGCCCAAACUCCUACGGGAGGCAGCAGUAGGGAAUCUUCCGCAAUGGACGCAAGUCUGACGGAGCAACGCCGCGUGAGUGAAGAAGGUCUUCGGAUCGUAAAGCUCUGUUGUUAGAGAAGAACAGCGCAUAGAGUAACUGUUAUGCGUGUGACGGUAUCUAACCAGAAAGCCACGGCUAACUACGUGCCAGCACCCGGCGGGUAAACUA